GCACUAUCACCAGCUACUUGAGAAGGUUCGGAUCCGGGAUGCCUUGCGCAGUAUCCUCACCAUAUCUCGACAUGGCAACCAAUAUAUUCAGGUGAAUGAGCCCUGGAAGCGGAUUAAAGGCAGUGAGGCUGACAGGCAACGGGCAGGAACAGUGACUGGCUUGGCAGUGAAUAUAGCUGCCUUGCUCUCUGUCAUGCUUCAGCCUUACAUGCCCACGGUUAGUGCCACAAUCCAGGCCCAGCUGCAGCUCCCACCUCCAGCCUGCAGUAUCCUGCUGACAAACUUCCUGUGUACCUUACCAGCAGGACACCAGAUUGGCACAGUAGGUGGAAGAGCCAGCCUCUCUUAAAAUUGAUACUCUUGCCAUGCAGCUUUUGGAGUGGGUGAGAGAAGACCUAACAUCUCUCCAGUGUUACUUUGGUCAUGGGACUCCUAAGUUUCUGAUACAAAGUCCUUGGUAGUCGUUCACAAGUCCAGAA
rnacentral:sRNA from 1 species